AUUGAACGCUGGCGGAAUGCUUUACACAUGCAAGUCGAGCGGCAGCGCGGGGCAACCUGGCGGCGAGCGGCGAACGGGUGAGUAAUGCAUCGGAACGUACCCCGUCGUGGGGAAUAACUACCCGAAAGGGUAGCUAAUACCGCAUACGACCUGAGGGUGAAAGCGGGGGACCGAAAGGCCUCGCGCGAUGGGAGCGGCCGAUGCCGGAUUAGCUAGUUGGUAGGGUAAAGGCCUACCAAGGCGACGAUCCGUAGCUGGUCUGAGAGGACGACCAGCCACACUGGAACUGAGACACGGUCCAGACUCCUACGGGAGGCAGCAGUGGGGAAUUUUGGACAAUGGGCGAAAGCCUGAUCCAGCCAUUCCGCGUGAGUGAAGAAGGCCUCGGUUGUAA
rnacentral:rRNA from 1 species